rnacentral:rRNA from 1 species
GCAAGUCGAACGGAAACAGGACGCUAGGAUUACUUCGGGAUGACUUUGUCGCUGUCGAGUGGCGGACGGGUGUGUAAUGCGUAGAAAUUUGCCUUGAAGUGGGGGAUAGCCCGGAGACAUCCGGAUUAAUACCGCAUGCGCUCUACGGAGCAAAGCGGGCCUCUUCUUGAAAGCUCGCGCUUUGAGAUAAGUCUACGUCGGAUUAGCUAGUUGGUAGGGUAAAGGCCUACCAAGGCGACGAUCCGUAGCUGGUUUGAGAGAACGACC